UUGCCGCUCCGCUUGAGCUCCAUCGGGACGUGUGGUGGGACAGCCUGCGACGCCUCUGGGAGAUCGAGAUCGAUGUAGAACAACAAUGAAGGCAUGACCCACGGCACCGCCGGCGCCAGCUUCUUGUGGUGUAUGUCCGCUUGCGCAUGAGGUCGCCGGUCGUCUCGUCGGACGCGGUCUGUCGUUGUUGAUGGCCGGCAACCACGACAGAAGUGACGUCGGCGCGGCAGUGCGAUGGCGCAACCGCGCAGCGGACAGAAGCUUCAAGUUGCUGAAUUUCUGCUUUGUCGCGGACAGAAGCUGCUACGACGGUAGCGGGCAGCCUGCUUCGGUGAUGGGACCAAGAUCGAGGAUGACAUGUUUCACAGGUAUAAUCACCGCUCAAGCGACCGUAUUGUACCGAAAGAGAAAAGGAACGGAUUUGCUAUUUUACAGUCGAGUGUUUUUCAAUUCGUCGUCAAUCAAAUCCGUGUCCGUCCAUUCUCGCGCAGAGAUUCGUGUUGAUUUCUUUUUGGCGUUCCAUUUGUUCGGGUUGAUUCGUGUUGGUUUCUCGGGUUUGGUUUUCCUGUCUCAGCCCGUUACCGCCCCCGGCCCGGCACUGUCUCCACUUUCAUUUGGGGGGUUCUGUUUUGAUAAGGCAAGGAGAAGGGAAGGAGCUCGAGCGGCGGAGGAGAGGAAGCGAUUUCUUAUGUUCAUGGCGAUUCCGGGCUAUUCCACCGCCCGAUUUUGAUUUCUCCUCCCUUUUCUCUUCGAUCCCCGCUGCCGCGGUUGGUUGUCCUUGUCUCUCGCGUUUCCCUGUGUUGUGGCUGUGUAGUUCCGGAUCUAGGUAAGUUUUGGAUCCGUGGUUCAUCUGUUAUUGGUGUUGUCCGUGGAUCCGUGGUAGGUGCAUGUUGCUGCCGUGUUUGUUUCUAGUCCGCCAUGCCUAGCGCUCCAUUUCCCAUCCUUCUGCCCGCCUGAGUUGUGUAGGAGCUUGUUGUAUGUGGGGAGUUCUAAUCCAUCUGCUUGUUGUGGUCCUUUUCUCCCCUGCUUGUAGAUGUAGAGGUAGGCGUAGGUUGUUUAUUCUGAUGUAGAUGUAGAGGUAGGCGAAGUUAUAGUUGCAGCGGUGGAUUCGCCCUAUCAAUUUUAUUUCUGCUGGCCUGGGUGUCUGUUCCUUUGUCGUUAGAUGUAGUUGCAGAUGGUCUAGCAUGGGUUUCUGCCUGCUUCUGCAGUUUACUUGUAGUUGCUGUUAGCUGCUGAUGUUUGCUGUUGUAGUCCCUGGAAUUCAGUAUGAUUUUUUUUUGUUAGAUGUAGGUGUUCAUUUCACCCGGUACCUGAAUCUCUCUGAAUUUGUGUGUACUAGGCUGCAGUGUUGUUGUAGUGUUAGUCCAGGAAUCUCUCUGAAUUUCAUGCUUCUUUACGGUGUAUUUUUACUCCAGACUUGAAGUGUAACUUACCCCUAGAAUUACAGUGUAUCCCCAUCCAGAAUUACUGUGUAAUUUAACUCAUAAUUACAGUGUAACUUGCCCCAUAAUUGCAGUGCAUUUACAGUGUAUCCUGAUGCUUCUUUAUUUGUUGUUACUCUGUAAUUUGUCCUAGUAGUACUGUGUAUUUCCCCCCUAAUUACAGUGUAAUCCUGAUGCUUCUUUCUUCAGUGUAAAUUUUGCUAUAAUUACUGUGUAACAUGUCGUAGAAUUACACUGUAGGUUACCCUGCAAUUACAGUGCAAUAUACCGUGAUUACCGUGUGUUUUUUGUGCUUCUUUAUUUGUAAUUACUGUGUAAUUUGUCCUAGAAUUACUGUGUAAUAUUUCCCCCCAUUACAGUGUAAUUCUCAUGUGUCGUAGAAUCACACUGUAGGUUAGCCUGCAAUUACAGUGUAAUAUACCGUAAUUACAUUGUUUUUUUCGUGCUUCUUUAUUUUGUAAUUACUGUGUAAUUUUCCCUAGAGUUAUUGUGUAAUAUUUCCCCCCGUUACAGUGUAAUUCUCAUGCUUCUUUCAGUGUAAAUUGCAGUGUAUAUUUUUCAGUGUAAUACUGCGCCAGUUUCUUUGUUAUUUACAUUGUAAUUUUUCUCAGAUGUUUUGCAUGCAUUCAUGUGGUUUUGCACUGUAAUAUCCCCCAUUCUUACUAUAUAAUUUAUCUUCAGUUUUUGGCAGUGUACUUCCUCUACCUUUUCAUUGUAAGUUGCCCUAAUUAUUGUGUAUUUUGACUCAGAGUUUCACUGUAUUUAGGUUGGUUUUUACACUGUAUUUUAAGUGAUUCUUGCACUGUAUUAAUAUGCCCCAUUAUUCUAUAGUUCCCCUGAUUGCUGCCUUUCAGUGUAUUUGUUGUGAGAUUUCCCUUGUAAUUGAGCCCCAUUACUCUAUAAUUUUCAACUUUCUUUAAUUUCUUUUUUUCGUGUGUCAUGUAUUCUGUUUUGUUAGGUUUAGGUCAAUGGGGAGACUACGGAAAGUCUCUCACAAGGAUGUUUCGGUAGUUUCUUCUAUCGUGAGUGCUGAUUCUUGGAAUGAUCCUUUUGUGCCUAAUGACUUUGCGGAAGAUGGUUCUAAUGCUAUGUCUUUGGUAGUUAUUUAUGUCUUGUUCUCUACUUUCAUUUUCGUUUUAUUCUUUCUUUCAGUUUAUUAUUAUUUUUUGUUUGUUGAUUGAAUUAUUUUUCAGGAUCUUUCUAGUGAUGAUAGAGGGUUUGAUAAAGCUAUUUUUCAAGAAUUUCAUUGCAAUCCCCAUGCUUCCUUUUUGUAAUUGCAGUGUAAUAUACCCUAGAAUUGCAGUGUAAUUUAGCCCAGAUUUUAGUGUAAUCCCAAUGCUUCAUUUUUUUAAUUACAGUGUAAUUUUCCUAGAAUUACAAUGUAAACUCCAUGCUUCAUUUAUGUAAUUACAGUGUAAUUUUCCCCAUAAUUACAGUUUAAACUUCAUGCUUUAUUUAUGUAAUUAUAGUGUAAUUAUUCCCCAAAUUGCAGUGUAAUUUUUCCUAGAACUUCAGUGUAAAUUUCAUUUUUUUUCUAAACAAAGUAGUGUAAUUUUCCUGCUGAACCUCUAUUACUUGAUAUUUGAGCUUCAUUCUUGUUCAGCUUUGCUUGAAUUACAGUGGAUUUUAACUCUGUUUAGUGCGAUUAUCCUGUGUAGUUCCUUGGUUAUUAUCAUUGUAAUCCACUAGUGUGAUUAUUCAUUUCCUUCACUGUCCAUGUGUACGAGCACUGUAACAAGCUCUGCUUUUCAUUGUCAAUAUUAAUGCCUUCAUCUGAUAGGACUUGUGUUCUUUAUGCUGAUAGGUAUGUCUUUGUAUUCAUGACUUCGUCUGAACUUGCAUGUAUCUCUGUAAUCCACUGAGUUCAUGUUAGUUACAUUGCCCUGUAUCGCAGCAAAGAUUUUUUCAUGUGUACUACAGCAAAGAUUUUUUCAUGUGUACCUUACACUGGAAUUCGUGUUGGUGUAGUGUUUUGACAGUGAAAUAUUAACAGUUUUACCUUCCGACAGUUAGAAUUUUUCCCCUGAUGAUUCCAAAAUUUUCACUAGAUUGUAUGACGUUUUUUUUUCUACAGGCUAGUUCAUGUAGGAGGUGUAUGUAGAGCAGCGGGGUGAGGAAAAACAUGGAAGAGUUCAAUAGAAGUGUGAUCAAAAGGAGUAGGACAUUACGUGAGCUGUGGACCGUCUCUUGGAUGAUCUUCCUCUGUCCUCCACCAAUUAUUCGGAUCUGUUCUUCCCCCUUGCUUCUCUCCAGGUGAUUUGUUGUCCAGGAAAGGAAAAAAGAGCGUGGGUAACGGUCCAGGUGGGUUUCGUGAUAGUUGCCUUGUUUUGUUUUGGUUAUUAGUUAGAACCGGGUCAGAUUUUAGCGGCCCGACCCAUUUUUUUGGAAAUACAAGCAUACAAUUGUCCAUGGUAUUUGGACAUAGGUGUCAGCGCUUGAUUUGUCAGGAAAUUUGACUAUAAUAUAGUGCUUUUUACCUUUGUAUUGGAUGACUUUCUUCGUUAUUUAACUUGUUUACCCCUAA